rnacentral:rRNA from 1 species
GAUGAACGCUGGCGGCGUGCCUAAUACAUGCAAGUCGAGCGAACAGACGAGAAGCUUGCUUCUCUGACGUUAGCGGCGGACGGGUGAGUAACACGUGGAUAACCUACCUAUAAGACUGGGAUAACUUCGGGAAACCGUAGCUAAUACCGGAUAAUAUUUUGAACCGCAUGGUUCAAAAGUGAAAGACGGUCUUGCUGUCACUUAUAGAUGGAUCCGCGCUGCAUUAGCUAGUUGGUAAGGUAACGGCUUACCAAGGCAACGAUGCAUAGCCGACCUGAGAGGGUGAUCGGCCACACUGGAACUGAGACACGGUCCAGACUCCUACGGGAGGCAGCAGUAGGGAAUCUUCCGCAAUGGGCGAAAGCCUGACGGAGCAACGCCGCGUGAGUGAUGAAGGUCUUCGGAUCGUAAAACUCUGUUAUUAGGGAAGAACAAAUGUGUAAGUAACUAUGCGCAUCUUGACGGUACCUAAUCAGAAAGCCACGGCUAACUACGUG